CGCACAGUGGAUUAGUGGUUAGCACGUUCGUCUCACACCUCCAGUGUCGGGGGUUUGAUUCCCACCUGUGUGU